CCUAAGAGUGAGAAGCAGCAAGAUUUAUUGUGAAGAGCAAAAGAACAAAACUUCCACACUAUGGAAGGGGAGGCCAGACGGUUGCUGCUGCUGGUUGGGAGUGGUCAGCUUUUAUUCCCUUAUUUGUCCCCGUCCGUGUCCUGCUGAUUGGUCCACUUUACAGAGUGCUGAUUGGUCCAUUUUACAGAGCACUGAUCGGUCCAUUUUACAAACGUCUAGCUAGCUACAAAGCGCUGAUUGGUGCAUUUUUACAGAGCACUGAUUGGUACAUUUUACAAACCUCUGGCUAGCUACAGAGCACUGAUUGGUGCAUUUUUACAGAGCGCUGUUGGUUCAUUUUACAAACGUCUUGUAAGACAGAAAAGUUCUGGAAGUCCCCACUGGACCCAGGAAGUCCGGCUGGCUUCAUCUCUCAUUAUUAUUGUCAUGCGUGUCCAUGUGAAGAGACUACCAAAUAGGCUUUGUCAGCAAGGUCUAGUAGCACAAAGACCAACCGUCUGAUGGCCGCUGACCGUUCUACCCGUGGUCGUUUGGGACUCCGCGUGCCUUCCAGGCCCGGAUAAUACUGGACACUGCUUACUCCAGAAACAUGGGUGGAAGCUGGGCCAGGGAUUGGGAAAAUCUUUUCAGGGUAAGUCUUUACAUUUACCAGAGAAAAAGAAAGAAAACUGUUUCUGAUGCAGAUCUUGUACCUGAAUACAUUUGUUGUCUUUUUAAAAAGGUGCUUGGGUUUUCCUGCUUCCCUGCCUUUCUAUCCUUAGUCUAUUUUUCCUAUAACUGUAUUUUAAGUCACUGUUAAGCUUCUAUAACUGCCAUAAUUUGCAAGAGUAAGCUGCUGUGUCAUCAAAACUUUCAAGUCAAACAUACUGUGUGUGGCUCAACCUGUUUGAAAUUUUUUGUUUGUUUUUUUGGUGGAGGUGAUGGGUGGGUGGAGUGAAAGGGAUGCAGAGUGAAAGGGAUGCAAAACAUCAGAGUAUGCUUUCUUUGUACUAUUUCGUAAUGUAUUGUGGCUUCAGUAUUAUAAAGAGAAUCAUCCAGUAGCAGAGUUUAAUUUUUAUCCUUUUAAAUUCUCCCUGAAGCUGGUGAUUGCCUUGGCUCUUUUGCACUGCAAUAAGAAAUCUAUGUAGUGGUAGAAAGAAAAAUUAACCCCCAUGAAACAUAAAAUGAAAGCAGGGGUUUUUAAGGGCUCUCUAAGCAGAGAGGUUAUUUCUCAGGUCCCUAUCAAGGUCUGGAAAAUGUAUGGCUUAAAGAUUCCAUUGCAUUUGUUACACUGUUUAACUAUACCAGUUGUUUAACUAUACCAGUCAUUUGGAUUAUUUCAGCUUCUGAGUUCUUGCUAGUUGGAAACCAAGCAACUGCAUUCAGUUUUUAGCUCUCUUGGAUUCAAGAGCUGCUCUUUGUUCUUUGCAGAUGUGAUGUGAAUGCUGCCUCCGAAAUUAUGGGAAUCAUUGUGUCUCUACAUCUGGUCAUGGGGGAGCUUAUUGUAUAAGGGUAUCUUUGGGGAGAAGUGUGCUACCGUUGACGAAUUCUUUGAAUUUUGGAAAUGGAUUUUGACAGUUUGAAUGCUGAGAUCUGAUCAAUUCGAGUGUGUUGAGAGGAACAAGGACAGGUGUAGUGGUUCAUGCCUGUAGUCCUAGCAAUUUGGGAGGCUGAGGCAGGA